rnacentral:rRNA from 1 species
UACGUAGGGUGCAAGCGUUGUCCGGAAUUAUUGGGCGUAAAGAGCUCGUAGGCGGUUCGUCGCGUCGGCUGUGAAAACCCGGAGCUCAACUCCGGGCCUGCAGUCGAUACUCCCGAGCUCGAGCACUGUAGAGGCAGAUGGAAUUCCGGGUGUAGCGGUGGAAUGCGUAGAGAUCCGGAAGAACACCGGUGGCGAAGGCGGCCUGCUGGGCAGUAGCUGACGCUGAGGCGCGACAGCGUGGGGAGCAAACAGG